CAAGUGAACGUCUGAGCCUGCGACAUGGAACGAAGAGACUUUGAAGAAGAAAUGGCACAUACAGCCAGGAAAAUUUCUCCGUCAACUCAAAUUCUUUCUCUCAGUGGGAUAACUUCUUCGUGUGAUUCAAUGAAUCGCUCAAUCCAGACAAUUGAGGUUGAGAAUGGGUUAAGGGCCUUGAAAAUCCGCUACGGAGUCGCACUUCUUCAAGAUGUCAUGUCAGUGUAAACUUGUUGAUAUACAGAGAAAUUGGGUUCGCAAUCUCUGCUUCUCAGUGUAGGAGCUCUGGAAUUUCCUGCCACAUUGGAUCCUGACGACAAACUAAUUUGUUUGUCAUCUUCAACAACAUUGACAAAGUGAUGCUUAGGCCAAACCUUACCACCUUGUGCAAAUGUAAAUACGAUGCUUAUGUGAGUACAAUAUGUACAUAUAUAUACCCAGAAAAAUCCCUCACAUUUUCCUUCAGUCCAGGUUGAUUUGUUUGUUUUUUAGUCCAGCAUCAAAUUAGAUUUCUGAUCUUUCCAUGCAAUGUCAAAAUACAUACAUGUGGGGUUGGUGUGUGCACUACUAUGUUAUGAUGAAAAUGCGCCAAAUGUCCAUCAUAUCAUUAUCAUUACUCUUAUUAAUUGUCAUCUUGAUCUCUAUUCUUUUGACAAAAAUUUAUAAUGGUUCACUUGAAAUUGAUUGAUGGAAUUACAA